rnacentral:rRNA from 1 species
GUGCCAGCCGCCGCGGUAAUACGUAGGUGGCAAGCGUUAUCCGGAAUUAUUGGGCGUAAAGCGCGCGCAGGUGGUUUCUUAAGUCUGAUGUGAAAGCCCACGGCUCAACCGUGGAGGGUCAUUGGAAACUGGGAGACUUGAGUGCAGAAGAGGAAAGUGGAAUUCCAUGUGUAGCGGUGAAAUGCGUAGAGAUAUGGAGGAACACCAGUGGCGAAGGCGACUUUCUGGUCUGUAACUGACGCUGAGGAGCGAAAGCGUGGGGAGCGAACAGGAUUAGAUACCCCGGUAGUCC